AUGACACUGGGCCAGAAGUCACUGCUGCCUCCUGGCAUUAGUGCCCGGUAGGUGCUGAGAGCUUGUUCCCGAAGAAGGAGCCUGAAGUAUUUGUGUGAGGUGAAUGUUUGUGUUUUCAGACUCAGUGGUACGAACUGUUCGUUCGGAGGUGUAUGCAUAAGUAUGGUCUGAGGGGACGCAUCCUAGCUCCAAAGAGGAUGACAGACCACUGCCAGGCGGCUCCGUGUUUGUGAGAGGCAGCGGUUGUCCAGCUGAAGCUCUGGGCUCGUCAGACCCAGAGGGAGGACUUCCUUGGCUUUGAAGGCCAGCAUCACGUGCAUGCACAGGGGAAGGGCAGAGGGUACAAGGACCCCUGUGACAAGACAGAACGAAGGGAAAUGGUCUUCCCUUCUUCUGGAGCAUCUAGGACAACCUGACUGACAGGAAAUGUUCAAAGAAUAUUUGUCAAAAAAAAAGAGUGGCUGUUGAGCCUGGAGAUGAGCGCACCACCUCCAGAGACUUACAGGUGGGCUGUGAAAUGGAAGAAGUCUUGUUCACUAUCACUCCUGGAUGACAGCUCUAGGAUCCGGGGUAGAUUUCAGCUCCCCUCAAGAAAGGACUAAGAGUGUGAGCUGUUUGGGCAGUUAGGCCCACUGUGGCUGGAGGCACCGAGCAGAGGCUGGACGACCGCCCUGGGCAGGGAUACUGUAAUGUUCUGGAAGAGGUCCCCAUGUGGGGCAGGGCUUGGUGUGACAGCAUCCCCACGUCCUCUUCAACCACAAGAGCCUGGGUCCCAUGUCGCCAUCCAGCAGCACCCCAAGCACCAUCCAGAUCCCCUUCACUGUGUACUGAGAAGGACUUCUCCUUGGAAGACUAGCACACUCAGGAGGGCCUGUUUUUAUUCACAGAUUCUUGUGAUUUUAUUUUUAUAUGGAAAAUAGAUACUUUUUAGCAUAAUGUCUGUCUGCCUGCAGCAGGAUUCCUGGGGUACUGAAAUUUAGACUCUGGGGCUCCCCAGUUCUACCCAGUCAGAAUCUCCGGAUGGGGCGCGGGAAUCAGGAUUUGGAGGAGCGGCCCCGGGUGACCCUUGCACAAGUAGAGUUUGAGGGUUGCUGUUUCCGGGUCCUCUCACGCCUGCCCUACAAUGAGCAACAGCUGUUCCCAUGACUCACCGCCCGAGGAGGAGCUGUGGAGUCUCGCUGUGUGCCCUUGACCUAGCAUACUGGAUGGACGGAGAGAAAGCAAAGACGGCCCCGAGGGAAAAGGGACCACCCAGUUCACCACUAAGAGUCUUGACUUCCAGAUGGAGUAAGGCACUCCUCAAGCUAGAGAAAGUGUGCGUAGCUUUUGCAAAAAAAAAAAAAAAAAAAAAAAGCUGAAAAUAAGGGAAAUACCAGGAAACGGAUAAACGUGUAUUGAAGACAAGCCAACACCCACUGGCUCUUGGAGGAUGAUACAAGACUGUAGGCCAGGAGAGCUAGAAGAACGGAGGGUAUCCCCGUACCUCAGAACCUACUGUUAAACAGACGGCCAGUCUCAAGGGCUUCCGAAGUGAGCAAAGGAACCCCGCGGCGUGUGGAGUGUGGCAGCGCUGGACAGGGCACAGCAGUGGGGGCAGCUGAGCGAGGUGGAGUCUGGCUCUCUUACCACAGGCGCUUCAAGGCAAGCGAAGCCAGCUGCUUUCGGAAGGGCAGGGGAGGAGCACGUGGUCAUCCCAACAAUCUGAUGCAAGCUUUAGGGGUACUUAGACAUUUUCCUCUGCUACAUCAUUUUCAGGUAAGAACAAAAAAAAUGCAACAGGUAGCAGAUGCGCAGAAAUGUCUCUGUAAACCUAGCAUAAUUUUUUUUUUUUUUAAACCAUGUAAAGAAAAGCACUCCCGCAUGUUUUCGUACUCUGCCAUUGGGAAGGGGCAAACAUCCUCGUGAAGCAGCACAGAGGAUUGUGAAUGGUAAAUUGUCUGCACGUCCAGCUUUUUCCAGUCCCCAAACCUUCCUCUUCCACACAGAGUGCUUGGUGGCGUGGCCGUGGCGGUCCUGACAGGUUCUUCCAAAGGGGGCACUGAUCAUUCUCAGAGGAACUGGGCAUUUAAGCAAACUUAAUUUGCGUGUGUGUGCGUGUGUGUUCAAGUUCCUAACAGAGCAAAAGCAGAGUCACUGCGGAGAGAAGCAACGAGACAAAGGUGUAGGACGCAGAGCAGCCGCCCAAGGUCGCUGCAGGUCCAAGCCGUGGGUGCCCAGAGAGAAUGUGGUUGUUUAAAAACAAAUGUGGCAGUGGGGAUGUCCCAGGGAUGGACGUCCAAGGUCCCAACAUCAUGGCCAGGAAAGUCCAAGCAAGCACAGAACUACCCCCUCCUAAGACAGCACACAGCAGAGCCACCGAGCCCUCGCAGAUGAAGCUGAUGCCAGGGGCAGCCCUCAGCACGGGAACGCAGCGCCACCCAGCCACCUGCCUGUGUUGCCUAGGUUGGGCCACAGGUGCCGUCGGAAAGCUCUCUCGCUGUGAAGGGCUGACUCCAACCUGUCACUCCCCCAACUCCUAAGCAUCCCAUAAAGGCUGAGCAGAGACGGACACACUCCAGACUAUCGAGUUCAAUGAAAAAUGGACCAAAGAGCACUAAGAAAGAAGGGGCACAGGAUGGUAGGGCCACCUCUGGACAUGGGCUGAGCAGGAGUGAGAACACCUCUUGCAGCCAUGCCCAGUGCCUUUACCGCUGCCCGCUGGCACUAAGGGUUGCCUGCCUGACAAUGCGGAGGGUAGGACCGAUCAGCGUCUCGCCUGCCAGCUCCCUGGAGGCCCCCGCAUGUCUGUCAGACACACACAUUCAUGCACACUCAACCGUCGCAAACCACACUGGUCUUACUUUGCCAUCUCCUUAACCCACUCAUGCACACGCAGACCCACGUCCUAGGCGGCCACAGCCUUUCUCUCUUUCUCCCGCUGGGAGGCGCUAUUGUGACAAACUGAGCAGAGCCCCCAGGCAAGCAUCAGAGACAGGACAGGCAUGAGGGGGCCACACUAAGGCAGCUGGGAGACUGGGACAUCUUCCUACCAUGCUUGAACACGCAGAGAUUUUACGGGGCUCCCUUCCAACAGGCUGCACUAUAUGGUCGGUGUCCCCCUCUCCUGCCUGUGGCUGGCGCUUGGCUGAUCUGGAGAAGCAGAGCGGUGUUGAAGACUGCCUUCUGCUCUGAAGUCUGGUCAAUGCGUAGACUAACCAUCAGCGGCAAGGGGGCUGGGCCAGCGGGCAGGACUCUCACUUUGUUCCCACACUUGAGUUGGUCCUGGAUCCCUAGAGACAGGUGUGUGUCUCCUAGGAGAACGACUCCCGUCAUGGUCUCCAGCGGAUGCCUUUCACAGAUGGCAUUUGCCAACACCUUUCUCCACUUGCUCUGUUUCAAGCGAUUCAAUUUAAUCUUUGUUGCCGUGGAGAGGCCCUCAGAAAAUGGGAUUUUUAACUAACUGGGCACCGUCUCUUCCUUCUCUUGGGGUCCCCACAGAGAAGAGAACUGGACCAUGAUUGUGCAGUAAGCAAGCAUCCAAAAGAAAGCGCUUAAAAACAAUUAGGGGGUCCUUGUAUGGAAUGGCAGAGGGUAGACAAGGUCUCAAAAAAGGUCCUUACUCAACCAGCUGCCAGGGCUUGGCUGGAGCCGGGUGGUUCCCAGCUGAGGAGUCCCGCGGGCCGGCUUAGCCUCCGUCCUCCAGGGCUGAAUGACAUAGGACCGUUGCCCCAGGAUGCUUGGCCAAGCCUUCCCGGGGGGCCAGUACAUCUCAGCCCACUGCACAGACAGGUACAAAGCACAACGAAGCUUUGCACGGGCGACCGAUCAUGAGGAUAGCCGGCAGCAAGCAAGUCGUCAGGGCCGUUCAGGCGCGUUAGGAGGUGAAGCAUUGUGCGUUAAUUCCAAGCAGGAAACUCACAGAAAAGCAGAGGCCGUCAUACCUGGGAUGGCCGUGGGCUGGGCCGAGGUCCUGAACACAAAGUGAGCCGCCUUGGACUUCCCCUGCUGGUUCUCAGCCACCACGUAGACCUCAUACUCCGCAUUCCAUUCCAGGGACUUGAGCAUGACGUGGUCACUGCCAGACGGGAGCCGGAUCUCUGGUUUCCACUCGGAGGAGAGCUUCUGGGCGAAACCGGCAGGAAGGACACAAGACACCAGGACAGUUUAGAUGAAAAUGCUGGUGAGACCCACUCAUGGGAAGAGCUUCGGGGAGUCACUACUAUCAGUACAAAAUAAUGCAAAUAAAAACCAAUGAGAGGACAGGGUGGUCGUUCUUUACUAACCUGAAAACCCCUAAGGACGAUGAAGGUCAGGAGGUCAACCUCGCAUUUUGUAAGCACAGCGGCUGAUGGCGGGUGCCAUAGGGCAACCUUCCAGUGUCUUGUCCCAUUGCCAUCCAGGGCACCCAGGGACUCAAGAACAUUCUGGAAGGCGUGGCACAUGGACGCCCCAGAAGAGCCAUGCAACAAAUAUGCUUCUUGUCCUGUUUCAGGAUGUUGCUCCCACUCAGCUGUGUGACUCACCUUCCCACACAGGAACGUGGCAUAGGUUCAUUUUGUUAAAAAUAAAAACUACCAUUUGUUGAACA